rnacentral:rRNA from 1 species
UCCUUAGUACGGCGAGUGACCGGGAUGAGCUCAAAUUUAAAAUCUGGCGUCUUUCAGGCGUCCGAGUUGUAAUCUAUAGAGGCGUUUUCCGCGCCGGACCGCGUCCAAGUCUCUUGGAAUAGAGUAUCAAAGAGGGUGACAAUCCCGUACUUGACGCGACAACCGGUGCUCUGUGAUACGUUCUCAAUGAGUCGAGUUGUUUGGGAAUGCAGCUCUAAAUGGGUGGUAAAUUCCAUCUAAGGCUAAAUAUUGGCGAGAGACCGAUAGCGAACAAGUACCGUGAGGGAAAGAUGAAAAGCACUUUGGAAAGAGAGUUAAACAGCACGUGAAAUUGUUAAAAGGGAAACGAUUGAAGUCAGUCGUGUGAAAGGUAUUCAGCCGUCUCUGGCGGUGUAUUUGCCUUUCACGGGUCAACAUCAGUUUGAUCCGGUAGAAAAAGGCGGGAGGAAGGUGGCACCCUCGGGUGUGUUAUAGCCUCCUGUCAUAUGUGCCGGACCAGACUGAGGAACGCAGCUUGCCGCAAGGCCGGGGUUCGCCCACGUACAAGCUUAGGAUGUUGACAUAAUGGCUUUAAACGACCCGUCUUGACACACA